rnacentral:pre_miRNA from 1 species
AGUGGGAUAACUGCAUCAAAUGGUGGUUCCAUUACCAGUUGUCUAAGGAAUAUCUAUACUGCUUUCCACAGUGGUUGUACCCAUUUGCAGUUCCACCAGCAAU